rnacentral:rRNA from 1 species
UACGUAGGGGGCAAGCGUUAUCCGGAUUUACUGGGUGUAAAGGGAGCGUAGACGGCAAGGCAAGCCAGAAGUGAAAGGGCAGGGCUCAACCCUGUACAUGCUUUUGGAACUGUGGUGCUAGAGUGCAGGAGAGGUAAGUGGAAUUCCUAGUGUAGCGGUGAAAUGCGUAGAUAUUAGGAGGAACACCAGUGGCGAAGGCGAUUUGCUGGACCAUCACUGACGCUGAGGUACGAAAGCGUGGGGAGCAAAUAGG